GGACCAGCUCUAUGAGCUGAACGUGCUGCCUCCGACCGCGCGCCGUAGCCGCCUGGGUGUCCUCUUUUGCCCGCGCCCCGAUGGCACGGCCGACAUGCACAUCAUCAUCAACGGCGAGGACAUGGGCCCGAGCGCCCGGGGACUGCCAGCUGCGCAGCCCCUCUACGCGGUGGUGGACGUGUUUGCUUCCACAAAGAGCGUGCGCCUUGUCCAGCUCGAGUAUGGCUUCUUCUUCCCACAGUGCCAUCCCUGCAGACUCUGUGCCGCCUAGUGAUACAAAGGAGCAUGGUGCACCGGCUGGCCAUUGAUGGGCUCCACCUGCCCAAAGAACUUAAGGAUUUCUGCAAGUAUGAGUGAAGACCCACAGUGCACCAGAGCACAGCUGCAUCCUGGAGCCCCAGACCUGUGGCUGGCUGGUCCGAAGUUGGCCACAUUGCUGCCAGCCAAGACCAGAAAUAAACAGCCGAUGCUGACAUCUUGAUCACUGGAA
rnacentral:lncRNA from 1 species